GUAAACCCCACCGGGAGCAAGACCGAAUAGGGACGGUGCGAGGGGAAACCCUCGAGGGCUGUUUCCGGCUCACCGUCCGGGUAGGUUGCGUGAGGCGCAUGGCAACAUGCGCCCAAGAUGAAUGGCCGCCACGUUCUCGCCUCGCAAGGGACGAGGGCCAUACAGAACCCGGCUUACAGGCCAGCUGGCAAU
rnacentral:RNase_P_RNA from 1 species